GCCCAAUCGGUCCCUUAAGAUGAAGCAAAGGGAACAAAUCUAUUUCCUGGAACUUCAUCUCUGCGAAUCCUCUCCAGCAGCUUACUAUCUCACUCCAAAAUGGUCGGUCGAACACUUAAAUGACUCCGCCGCGCCGGAGCUCAUCGUCGGCGGUGGAAAAGCUCCUACUCGUCUCAAAUUCACACCAUUUUUACCGUCUCCAACUUACGAUUUCAGAUCUUCAAUUAACCUCUCCUAAUUCCUACCAAAACACACAAGCCGAGUCGAAACUUCUUAUGAAUCUCAAGCAAAAGAUUUAAAUCAAAUCCUCAUAUGGAGGAAGUCAAGACCUCAUAACCGAUAUGAUGACAACGAGUUUGAGGCGGAUUGAAGGAUCUUACCUACUUUCGACGGUAACCGUGCGGAGCUGAAGAGGAUGAUGAACGCGAGCUUAAGAUUCGUAUGGUGAUGUAUUGAGUUGAUUGUGGGAGAAAUUGCAGGAAUCAUUGUGGAUGGUGUGUUGAAUUGUAAUAGUUGAUUUGCAGAAUUAUUUUCUGGAGGAUGAAGAUGGUGAGAGUUGAGUUGAAUCACGGUGGUGAAGAUGAAUGCAAUGCAGGUGAGAAUGGUUCAGUUUGCAGAACUCACUACGAGAGGAUGAAGACGGUGAGAGUUGGUUAUGAGUUGAAGGAAUUAUGAAGCUCGAUGGUGGUUCUGGAAGAUUGAAGAAGAGGCUUCAAGGCUAACUCAUUAUCUUAUAUAUAGUUCUGUUGCAUUGGAUAUGAGGUUUUCAGUUUGAACUUGGUGCUUGUGGGCCGUGUUUUUUUCUAUAAUGCGUUUGCGUUUCGUGCUGCGUUUUAUCAUUUCGUUUUGCAAAUUCGUUUGCUGCAUUCUUCUCCAGCUGCUUACGUGUACUCUCUUUGAAAAUUCUCCAAUUGCAUUUCAUCUCUUUUGUCUUA